AACAACAAUAAAAUAAACAUCAAUUUGCUAGAGACUAAUUAGUGCAACUGCAACAACCAACAUGUCGGGAAGCCAACUGCCAAGAGAGAAAGCAUUCACCAGCCUAACACCAAAACUUCAUCCUACAACAGCACCUGAGUGAAUAUCCCAUGCAGCGGACCACAGUCCCAAAUAGCUAAACCAUCCAUUAGCAGGUAUCCCCAAACCCAAACCAAACAUAGGCACAACACAAAAUAGACCCAAAACAAGGGCAUUUCACGCUCAGCUAGAAGUUGCUGAACCAAGAGGAGAAUCACAACCCUCCCCAGCACAAUUAAGGAUGGACUGCAGCUGCUCAAACCCAACCAGCAAGAAGCAUCCGAAACAGCCCCACAUCAGCUAAAUCAUAAAGACACAGACCAGCAGUACAGCAGCCCGGCAGCUAAAUCAUAAAGACACAUCUGCAUUGCCCAGCCAGCAACACAGCAGCUAAAUAGUAACAAGAUAGCCAAAAUUUGCUAGCAACAACCAGCAAGUGGAAACAGCUGUCGAGAAACCAGCUGCACGAAAAUAGUCCAGCCCAUGCUCAACACCUACAAACAAAUGGAUUGAAAUAGAUUGAGACCAGAAACAACCAAACAUCAGGCAGAACUGCAAGACAGCCAAAAUUUGCCCAGCAGCAC
rnacentral:lncRNA from 1 species